GGUUCUGGCAUCGAUGAAGAACGCAGCAAAAUGCGAUAAGUAAUGUGAAUUGCAGAAUUCAGUGAAUCAUCGAAUCUUUGAACGCACAUUGCGCCCGCCAGUAUUCUGGCGGGCAUGCCUGUUCGAGCGUCAUUUCAACCCUCAAGCACAGCUUGGUGUU
rnacentral:rRNA from 2 species